ACUUCCGGGUCGUUGUAUCCUAGAAAGUAGUUCUUUGAAAUUUUGAAGUUCCCAAUUUAACGCUAUCCCUACUUUGACAUGUUAUAUUCCAAAUGUAUUUAUUGAUACUGUGUACAUUUUUUGUCAUUUCUGAUGUCUUUAACAGUUGUUUUAUGUGUGUUUUUCAGGAUUACAUUUCUGUGCGGAAGGAUUAAAAAACUACACCAGACUGGUGGCCAUGACAGAUGUCAGUGGGAAACUUAAACAUGGACUAGAUACUUUGAUGUGUAGCAAAAAAGUUCAUCGUUGAUGGUGGUGUUUUUCUGUGAUAUAUUGACUGGGAUAGUAUUACUCUUCAGAAAUACAGAGCUGUCAAUGCUGCAAUUUUGUUGUGAAAUUCACAAUCCAUGUCCAAAAAUGCUUGUUUUACUAUACAGCAAAGAAGGAGAAAUUGUACCGGGCCGACACCUAUAUGGCAAAUUCAGAAAAUGGAAUAUCUCAGCAACCAUAGGGUUUACAGUCAUGAAACUUCACACACUAGUAGCUGAUAACAAUACAAAUCAGUGGCUAAAAGGAUAUUUCCAAGGCGAUGAAUUCCAUAUGUCAGUAGGAAUUUAGAAUCGUACAACCAGUCAGCAGCUACCCAUAAACCAGACCAACCUAUUAAGUCGAGCGGGCAGAAGCUGUGAUUCCCAGUGUUACACCGCAGAAUGACGGCUAGUUUUCGGAUUACAUUUCUGUGCGGAAGGAUUAAAAAACUACACCAGACUGGUGGCCAUGACAGAUGUCAGUGGGAAAUUUAAACAUGGACUAGAUACUUUGAUGUGUAGCAAAAAAGUUCAUCGUUGAUGGUGGUGUUUUUCUGUGAUAUAUUGACUGGGAUAGUAUUACUCUUCAGAAAUACAGAGCUGUCAAUGCUGCAAUUUUGUUGUGAAAUUCACAAUCCAUGUCCAAAAAUGCUUGUUUUACCAUACAGCAAAGAAGGAGAAAUUGUACCGGGCCGACACCUUUACUGUAUAUAUUUUGUAAC